UUUUCUAGAAGUCUCAAAAGUGCCUGGAUUUAUGCAUAAAUAGUUCCUGCACCUAAAAUUGCUUAAGCUUUGUAGGGAACUUAAGUCAACAAUACGUGUGCAGAUGCUCUGGUGAAUGAUGCAUACAAUAAAAAACACAACCUUUUUAUACCCAAUUUGGCAUUCCAUUUACAUGUUUUCUACUAGAGAUGUCUUGUACAGAGCAGUUGUCGCGCUGUAAUGACCGAUUGACCGUACACCAGAGUAAAAGAGACUUUGCAGCUAGUAGUUGGUUAAUUUACACAUUCCAUUCCCUAUGAAAAAAUUGACGCAUCUUUAAAUUAAAGAUCAGUGUAUUGUGUAAGCUGGCAAUAUUGUAUUUCCUUUAUGCUUACUAGACAAGCACCACAUCUCUUGAAUCCUCUACUAAUAAUAGAUUUUGAUGAGGUCUGAUUGUGUUACAUUAGUAAAAUGAAUUUACUAUGAAGCUCUCAUUAUAUUACAGAUACACCUUACAUGCAUAGAUGCUGUUUUUAUUCAAUCCCCUGCAGUAUAUAGAGUCCUUAGUAAUUUGCCUACUCUUCUUUCCUGAAAUGACCAUAAUCUGUGGAAAUCUGCCUUUUUAAAACUUGCAACAAUUGGCUAAUGGACGACAUUCCAUAAGAAAUUUGGUGCCUCUGUAAACUAUAGAGAGAUUGUGCUAGGACUGUGCUACCCCCUUUCUCUCUUAUUUACGAGUGCUUUAAAAUGUCCACCUUUGUCACUCAUGUACUUUGUGACCAUCCUUAAAGCGUUUCUGUCACCAUAAUGAAUGAGAAUGAAGAGGUCAGAGGGCCUUCACUGGCUCCAAUAUGCUUUUAGAAAAAAAAACUUCCUAGUACGUAAUUUGUUAUUAGUUAUAUGUCCUGCCCAGAACAAGUAUUUCAAUCAAGAGAAUAAUGAACCCUCAAGGCCUCAACCCUCCUAUUUCCACUAAGUUUUUAUUAUUAUUAUUUAGAUGGCGUCAUUUACAUUUAGGCUUUUCCUAGCAUUCAUAUGACCAUAAUACAUGUGUAAAAAGAGGUAUAUCAUAUAAUUUAUUUGAUUAGUAUUUCAACUGAGCUAUAUAUGAAGUUUCUCG
rnacentral:lncRNA from 1 species